rnacentral:misc_RNA from 1 species
GGCUCCGCCGUCUACCGCCACCGAUUCCCUCUUGGACUUACCACCUCUUCCCACUCCGACCACCAAGGUCCGCCUUUUAUGUAGUUAUGGUGGACAAAUAGUUCAACGUCCUCACGAUAAAACUCUUUGUUAUGCCGGCGGUGAAAACCGUGUGGUCGCCGUCGACCGUCGUACCACCAUUUCUUCACUCUCCGCGCUUUCAGCCCAUCUUUCUCGUACCCUUUACGGUAAUCGUCCAUUUUAUCUCAAAUACCAGCUUCCUGACGAGGAACUUGACUCUCUCAUCUCCGUUACCACCGAUGAGGACUUACAGAACAUGCUUGAAG